CAAGAAAGGUGAGGAGCCGAAGAAAGGCAAGGGAGAAAAGCCACCACCUAAGCACAAGCCACCACACGAGGGACACAUUCUAGUAGAGGAGGUGGAAGAGGACUCAAAGAAGCCUUUUCCCGAACACAAGCCGCCGAAGAAAGGCGAGGAGCCGAAGAAGGGCAAAGGUGAGAAGCCGCCGCACCACAAGUCACCACACAAGCCUCCCACUGAGAACUGAGUAUGCGUUCUUCAAUGAAUGUAUAUGUCGUGUGUUUUUCACGGGUUCAAAUAAGAGCUGGUCCAUAGAGUGUCUGGCACUAUCGUGUUAGCUGGUCCGCUGUUUGUGCUCCAUGAGAUAAAGGAUGUAUGUACUUUGCUUGGGCAUGUCCUUUGACUUUGCCCACGUUGAUAUAUGCUGAGUACUUGCUAGCCAUGAGCUUUCCUUUCUAAAACUCUUCUAAGUGUCCCCUUCUGCAAUCUAACCUUGCCAUGUCCCGCGAGCACGAAAAGUUUGUUCAUACUCCUAAACCCUCAGCAAACAUAGAUGCACGACUAGAAUCUGAUUAAUAAUUAAGUGAAAGACGUAAAAUAGAAAGUUGAUUUGCACUAUUCAUUUGAAAAAUUCAUGCGGAAAGUAUUUAUCGGAGUGCUUAGAUAGGACUUGCUUAUUCAGAAUAGACACAGCAGAUUUUCAUCCAAACAAGUGUGCGAAGUACAGCUUUAAUCCAAAAAGCUUGGUUUGAUUAUCUAAGAUCUAAAAAUUGUGAUCAACUGCUUCUGACCCCCUUGUGAAGUAUGAAAAUGAAUAAUGAAUUUUUUGACAUAUUGAUAGUUGUACAUACAUGAGAUGAUAACAAUGGAUUGUAAGGAAAAUAUUGAUUCGAAUUGGGUAGAACACUGAAGUCAGAUUUUUAGAACAAACAAGUCAGACUUUUAAAGGUGAUAUUACUUUCUUUGAAGAUUUAUUUGCUUCAUAAUUGUUGUUAAUGGUUAUCAGCAAAUUUUCUCCAAAAUACAAUAAAGUCUUAAAUGAGAAUACUAGAUAGUAAUUCUAAUAUUUCUUCAGGGUCUCUCUAUAAAACAUUUGGAAAAGAUGAUUAUAUAUAUUUUGAAAGAAAACAAAAAUGGGAAGAGAAAGUUUGUGAAAAGACUUGAAAGUUCUACAAAGAAUUGAAUUGAAUAUUUAUAUUUGAAUGGAUGCAACCUUUCAGAGAUGAAGAAGUUAUUUCCAAGUAAACACAACCUUUCAAAGGUUGUAAUAGUGCCUAAUAACUAUUAGGCAAAAAUAAUAAAUUCUAGUUUAAAUAAUUAAAAAGUAACCAUCACUCUAUUAUGAACAAUGACAUUGUUUCACUAGGGCGCAAAAGUUAUUAUAUAUAUAUAUAUAUUUGGCGACCUAAGAUCCGCCGGGCCCGACUUUCACUUAUAAUCGCUAGCCCACGGCCCGUACAGUACGUGAUACACCUCGGACCAAGUAUCAAUACCUAAGAGGAAGCUAGCACAGGACCCCACCACCAUGGCCCCUCACUUAAGACGUGUUAGCAGCUGUGGAGUUUCGGCGAACCAACUCAGCUGUCCACCGGAGGGUGUUAUUUUAUAAUUAUUAAUUUUAAUUUUAAUGAAUAAAAAAUAAUUGUUGUUAAUUAGUGCAAAAUCUCGUUCACAUACGCACUCGCAUCGACAAGGCACCGCUUAGUUUGUUUUACAAACAAACUACAAACAUAGAUGAAUUAGAAACAUCAAUUUUUUCUAUUUAGCUAACUACUAAAGACUGUUAACAGAACCGUAUUAUUCUAAAUAGAUACUUACCGACGACCAAAAGCUACACUACACGUCCCAACAGAUUGAUCCGAUUUUACUUUUUAAAGAUAUGCUUCAAUUGACGUUUGACAAUUUGGCCAUCCUAAAUAGAUACCUACCGACGACUAAAAGCCACACUACACGUCCCAACGUAAUGAUCCGAUUUUGCUUCUUACAGAUAUGCUUCAAUUGACGUUUGACAAUUUGGCCUAACUGCUUUUGGACUGAUUUACCAAAUGGCCCACUAAUUCCUUCGUUUAGCACUUAUGCUAGUCAAAAUAUGAAUUUUCAUAUAACCUAAUUGGGUCGAGCAUUUCGGAUGUACCUAGUUAUAGAGCUAAAAUGUGCCAUAGUUUAUUUGGAAAGUUCUAACAAAGUUAAUUUAGCUCUUUUUUUGGAUGACCAUUUUCAUAUCUUCAUAUUUACACCGGUUUGCUAUCUCUAGACAAAACACCUAAAAAGACCAAAUUACUCUCCCAUACAAGUACCCAAGCCUGCGAACCCUCUCAUGAACCCUAGCCACUAUUGCCGACAAAUCCCUUCUCUCCCUCAACACACAUCACCAUCAGUUGCCAUCAAACCCCUAGCCCACCUUUAUAAAUCUUCAAGCCUUGAAACUCUCCCAAUUCCGAUAUCAAUUUAUAGAAUCUAAUGAUAUCUAAAAGUUUAUUUUCUAACAAUGAUGAUAUUUGAUUUAUCGUAUCAUCUCAUAAAAAAAGAAAAAGAUAAACUCCACCUUUUUCAUAAAGUCAGUACGUUCACCACGUAAAUUAAGAUUGACCAUAUGUUUGUAGGUGCUAUGGUCCUGCGUCCUAUACAUACAAACACCUAUGUGACCCACCAAGGUGGCCGGUACCACCAAUAACUCAAUAUGCUCCCACUUGCCGCACGUGCUUGGAUUUGUAAUGGUUCCAAUCAAUUUGUAUGUAUAUCCAAGACAAGUUAUGUACUUUGUAUUAUUUUUUUGACUAAUUUCAUGAACCCAGUUAAUCAAAAUGUUGAAUCAUGUGAAACCAUAUAAGAGUCGACAUGUGAUCUAAUGGAUAUAGUGGUUCAUAUGUGAGACCAUAUAAUGUAGCGAUUAUAGUACAUCAAGCUCAUACGUAUCUAAUACAUGCAAUGCUGGUGGAUACUUGAUGUGAGUGCCCUCGCGACGUGGGACGAUACCGUGAAGUCAAAAGAAGUCUAUACUACCCUAGACUUACCAGCCCAAUUCCAAUUCCCCCAGAUUUUAUUCGAUGUUGUACCCUAUCAAUUAAUGCCUCCUUUGUCGGGUACGUUGCCUAAUUUAAGGUCACAGUCCCAAAUGAUAUGGGCAGUGACGUCAUAUUAAAGCAAUUUAGUAAUUUGAAUGUGCUUUAUAUUCAAGACACAAUCCCUAAAAAUGAGGCCCUCGAUGUUAUAGUGAAUACACUCCUUUGUAUAUCGCCCAAGUAAGCAUAAGUUUUUCUGAAUUCACCUCGUUAAUGGAAAAUGAACAAAGUUGCACGUUAACGACUUCGGAUAAGACAAGCUAGUAGUUUAUUAUGCUCUUAGGAGGUGCAAUCUGUACGCGAUAAAACAAAGUUGUUUAUUCUCUCCGUGCCCUGUGAUUUUUGCUUGUAACUUAAGAACAUCGAUAUUGACCAAGUGUGUAAGUUUUAAGAACAAGGAUUUUAGCAAUUCUAUCGUCAGUGAAGAAUUUCUAUUGCACAAACGCUAUUGAUCUCGUGGUGUCGGUAAACUUGACAUAAACUCUUAUUAGGUCUAUCAUUAAAGUGGAAAAAUUUAUUGAAACCACACUUUAGAUCGAUGAUACGUAAAAAUUACAAUCACAUUGGACCAUCGGCCGAUGAUCACGUUGGAUAUAUCAUUGAAGAACAUGAAAUAUUUUGGAGAAAAAGAAUUCCUUUUCAAUAUAUUUUCAUAUCUCUUCUUGAUACCAAGAAACACACGCGCACACACAAGAGAACCCUACUAUAGGUUAAUCCUAAGAUUCCCUUUAAAUAAAGAAGCACAACAGGUAACAAAUUAGUAUACAAAACUUCCUAAUUUAGUUCCAAUUUAUAGCUCACACCAACACUCCCCCUCAAGUUGGUGCAUAAAUCUCUUCGAUGCCCAACAUGUCAAGUGUGCUAUAGAAGAUCUUGCUCAAUACAACCUUUGCCAGUAUAUCAGCCCGUUGAUCUUCAUAUUUAACAAAAGGAAAUCGAACUAUCUCGGUAUCUAGAUUCCAUCUAAUAAAAUGUUGAUCUACCUCAAUAUACUUUGUACGAUGGUGCUGAAUUGGACUGUGAGAAAUAUCAAUGGUUGCCUAAUUGUCACAAAACAAAUUCAUCUUAGACUUAGGAGUGAAGCCAAGUUCUGACAUCAACCUCUUAAGCCAAAGAAGUCACAAUGUCCUUUGGUCAUUUCCGUAAAUUUAGCCUCUACACUCGACAACACUAUCACUUUUUGUUUCUUGCUUCUCCGAGUGACUAAAUUCCUUCUUAGUAGGGAUAUACAAAACAAAGUGCCCAAACCAAGAACUGCCUAGACCAGACUGGCUGGUGUGGUCCAGUUUCCAAGAGUAUCGGUUCGGUUCCAAGUUCCUAAAAGUGGAGUUGGUUUUUGAACAGUAUGGUUCUUGGUUCCAAGGGAAAACCGAACUGGACCGAUUAAAUGUAUUUUAUUUAUUUAUUUUUAUUUCUUAAAAAAAUUAGUAAAAUUUGAAGUAAACACAAUCUCGAUCUAGUUUCAAGUAAUGAAAAAAAAAGUAAAGGGAAAAAAGUAAUCAUGAAAAAUCAAUGAUCAUUUCCAUUGCUUAGACCAAUGAUUCGAUUUAGUUUUCGAUCCUACAACUAACUGGUUUGGUCCCUGAUUCCUAUUUUUGGAAAUUGGACUGAACUAAUUGGAUCAGGAACCGAUCACCCCGACUUCCACAAGAGUACAGUUUCAUAAUAUCGAUUUCCUGUUAGAAACACUUCCCGCCCAAUCUGCAUCUACAAAACCUUCAAUUUCAAGAUGAGCAUUCCUUGAAAAGAAAAGUCUUUCCUUGGAGCAAACUUCAAGUAGCGAAAGAUUUGAACCACAACAGCCAUAUGAUCUUCAUUAGGUUCAUGCAUAAAUUGACUAACAAUGCUUAUAGCAUAUGUAAUAUUUGGGCAAGUAUGGGACAAAUAGAUUAACUUGCCCACUAACCUUUGAUAUCUCUCCUUAUCGAUUGGUACCUGAUUUAAAUAUUACCCAAGUCCGUGAUUCUGAACAAUUGAAGUAUUAGUUGGCUUACAAUCUAGCAUUGCCACCUAUAUCAAUAGAUCCAGUACAUAUUUCAUUUGAGACUACUUCAAUUCCUAAGAAAAACUUGAGUCUCCUAAGAUUCUUCAUUUCAAACUCCGUCAUAAGAGCAGCGUCAUUGACCUGGCAUGUGAGCAAUAGCCAUGGUAGACCAAAUUGAAUUGGCGACCCUACAUGGGCGCGAUGAGCCUCCCUCUAUAGCAGCAAUCCUUGAUGAUUUGACAAUGAAGAUGCAAUAGAUUUUGACCCAGAAUCAUACCAUAAGUCUUCCACAACCCAGAUCACCACCAAGUUGGGCAACACUAGCUAUGGACUUCAGUUCUAAGUUGUUGAGAUGUAUACCUCUAGAAAAGACAAAUUGUGAUGUAUUAAUGGGGACCUUCCACAACCCCAAUUGAUAGACCCAAGCUUUAGAAAGUGGAAAAAUGAAGAUUCAAUAGUGAAAGUAUGGUUAAUUAAUUCCAUUGAUCCAACCUUAAUAGGUAACUUUAUCAAGUCCCCAACUACAAAGACGAUAUGGGAUUCGGUUGCUAUUACUUUUUUGAUGGAAUUGAUACUUCUCAAGUUUAUGAUUUGAAGAGAAAUGUGACCAGAAUGAUAUAGGCUGGGGGGGGGGGGUAAGUACAUUAUCAAUGUCAAAAGUUGUAUACGGCGCUCACUUUGGUGCAAAAGUUUCCGUUAGAUCACUUAAGUACCAAAUCGGAGAAAAAACGAUCACUUCGGUGCCACCGGCAAGAGAUUCUGGCCCAGAUUAAUUACGUGGCUUUUAUAUUUUUUUUAAAAAUAAGUUGCAGUGGCUUUAAAACGAUGUCGUUUUCCAUCCUCCUCAAGAAACGAUGUCGUUUUGCCGUCAUAUGUGGACAUCCUCAUAGAAAUGACGCCGUAUAGCUCAUAUGGGGAUUGAAAUUAGGGUUUGUUUGUUGUUCACCGCUCGGCCACUGUCGUUCGCCCACCAUCACUUGGCCACCGUCACUCGGCCACCAUUGUAGUUGCUCGACCAAGUUAGCGGGGAGAGACUAAGAUUGUUGCUCAAGCAAUAAGUGGCGGGAAGAAUAGGAGGCGAGGGUGGAGGAGGAGGAGGAAGAAGAGCGAUCGAAGGUGCCGCCGCUGGUGCGCUACUGCUGUUGCUAGUGUCAUUGCUGGUGCUAUUGCUGGUGCAUUGCUGCUGGUGCUGUUGGUGCGCUACUGUUGCUAGUGCGUUGUUGUUCUUCGAGGAAGAAGAAGACGACAUGCUUCUCUCUCUCUCUCUCUCUCUCUCAAUUUGAGGAUUUAGGGUUCUAAGUUAAGGGAAAUAUGCCAAACGACGUCAUUUUGUUGUUUGGAUGUUGAUUGUAAUCUCCAACGAGCCGCGUCAGCUUCAAAAAUUAAUAAAAAAGUGCCACGUCAGAUUUCCGGCCAUUUUGAUCGGCGUUGGCACUAAAAUGAUCAUUCUUCAAAUUUGUUGGCAUUUAAGUGAUCCAAAAUAAACUUUUGGCACCAAAGUGAGCGUCGUACACAACUUUUGGCACUGAUAGUAUACUUACCCCGACAGGUUGGAGGAGCCAUUGAAACUUACUACAAUGGUCUUCAAGGCUUGUGGUGGGAGAUGGAUUUCCACCACCCAAAUCCGAUUGUAUAUCCUAUUAAUAUAGAGAGAUGCAAGUCAGCUAUAUAAGAAGAUAGAGUGUAUCUUUUCCUUGAUGGAUUGGAUGAUCGCUUGGAUAAAGUCCGAGUUGAUGUGCUCCAAAUGCAACCAUUCCCCACAAUUGAGCAAGCUUAUGCUAAUGUUUGACGGGAAGAUGUACGACAAACGAUGAUGUUGACGAGCAUAGACACCACACACACACACACGCCAUUGUCAUGGCGUUGAGGGGGAUUAAGAUAGAACCCAGGAGGUGCCAAUGCUAUGAAUGUCCAAGAUGGUUGUCUCUACAAGUGGUGGAAAGAAUAGUACUAUCCCAAGGCAGAAAUCUCAAACAAUUAGUCAAUGCACUCACCAUGGUAACAUGAAACAUAGUCAUGAGACGUGCUUUAAGUUAUAUGGGUAUCUAGAUUGGCGUAAAGAACUCAAGGCACGAAAAUAGGUUAAAGGUGAGGCAAAUGGAAAAAAAGGAAAUAACCUACAUAUAUAUACACUAAUGAUAUUCUCUAACAAGGAAACCUCUGAUCUCCAUAUAUAUAUAUAUAUAUAUAUAUAUAUUUUUUAAUCACUACCCUCAAGCUAGAGCAUCCAACUUGCAUAUGAUUAGUGCAAAUUACUUUGAAAUUUUGUGAGCAAGUGCCUUAUAAGCCAGACCUUACACUAAACAAAUCGGAUUUGAUAAGCGCUAAAGCAACACAUGCUUAGAAAGUUGACAUAUUUUUCUCAUACAAACUUGAUAGAAUCGUGUGGAACCCAACUUGAAUCGUAGCAAACUAAACUACAUCACCCUACAAUGCUCAUCCUCGGCUACUUGAUGAAGUUUGUUCAACUACAACUCUCAUAGCUACUUGGAUACUUGAUGACAUCACUCCAUGGCGCUCAUCCUUGGCUACCCAACGAAGGUAUGCUUGACUCCGGUGCUCACAGCUAUCUAGAUAUUUGACAGUGACUUCACCUGUUGAUGUUACUCACAAUUAGAAGAGAGUACCCCAAUGGAUAAUGUCCAUAGUAGCAUUGUUGAGUGUUGACAAUAUGAGGAAGUUACUGAAGAUGAGACAACUAAAGAUAGCAUAAAGGAAGAAAAGCUGAGGUUCGAUUUAAUUCCUUCUCUCUUGGUGGCUAUGAUACCAUGAAGAAAAGGAAAGACUUGGAGAAGAAGAAUUCUUUUCCAGUAUACUUUCAUAUCUCUUCCUAAUGAAAAAAAAAACAUAUAAUUUAUCGCAUAUAUAAUAAGAGAACCCUAUUUUAAGCUAAUAUUAAGAUUCAGUUUAAAUCAAGAAGCAUAACAGAUAACAAAUUAGUAUAAAAACUUCUUGAUUUAAUUUUAAUUUAAAAAUCACACCAAUAAUCAUGUCGUCUAAAAAAAAGUAGAUAAAUUCCACCUAUUUCCAUGAUAUUAUUAGGUUCACCACAUAGAAUAAUAUUGUCCAUAUAUUUGUAUGUGGUAUGGUUGUCUAUGUGCCUCACGAAGGUGGUUGGUACUACCAAUAGCUCGUUAUGCCUCAACUGCCGCACGUCCAUGGAUUAGUAACAGUAGCAAUGAAGUUGCAUGUAUUUCCUUGUUAAGUUAUAUACUUUGUAUUUUUCUUGAGUGAUUCUUUGAACCCAAUUAAUCACAAUGUUGAAUCGUGGGGGACCAUAUAAGCACCACAUGUGAUUUAACGGAUGUAGUGAUUCAUAUGAGAAAUCCUUAUAAUGUAACAAUCAUAGUACAUCUAGCACAUACGAAUCUAAUAUGUUCAGUUUUGGUCGAUACUUGAUGUGGGUCCAUUUGCCACGUGGAAAGGUUCUGUGAAGUCAAAAGAAGUCUAUAAUAUAAUUAGAAUAACCAGCCCAAAUAUAAAUCGCCCGCUUAUAACUCAAUCUUGUAGUUUAUCUUUUUGUGCCACCUUUGUCGGGUGCCUUGCCUAAUUUAAGAUUACAGUCCCAAGUGACAUACGCAGUGACGUCAUAUUAAAGUAAUUUAAUAAUUUGAAUGUGCUUUAUAGUCCAGACACAAUCCCCAAACUGAAGCCGUAGAAAGUGUGAUUGCCAAUACACUCCUUUUAUUUCUCGCCCAUGUGAGCGUAAGUUAAACCUACCUAUUUCACCGCCGUUAACAGAGGAUGAAGAAAAUGGCACCUUGCUGACUUCAGUACACUAGCUAAUAUUGUUUAUUAUAGUCUUAGGAGGUGCAAUCUGUAGGAUGAUUAAAUAGAGUAGUUUACUCUUUCUAUGUCAAGUGAUUUUUGCUCGUAACAUAAGAACACUAACAUCGAUUAUGUGUAUAAGUCUUAGUUUUAAAUUGUUGAAAUCCAGGUUGUCGCAAUUUUUCUCGAGAUGAACCAUCAAGGGAAAGUUAAUGAAUUAAUAAGUAUGCAUGAACGGUUGCUCAUUAAAAAGAUAGUGCAAUUGCCUAGUGCAAACUUCCCCAAACCCAUGCCAAUGACAACUUGAAUUUUAAUUUAAACACGUAAUAUAUCUUACUUUUUAGAGCUGUCACUACUUAUGGGUUGAUUAGAGAGUAUGCCUUACUUUUGUGAAACAGAGAUUCUAAAUAUGUGUCACAACCUCCCUUUCGAGCCCCCUUACUUGCGAGCAUGGCAGAGGCUAAUGGCUUGCUAAGUAUUAGGCUUAGUACAGGCUCCUUCAAGCCCAUCAAUUCACGACUUAUAGUUCGAGUAUUUAACUUGCAAGUCAAUUUCAAAUAUGAGUCGUCACUAAUCGAUUUGGGGUAGGCCGAUUAGAGACUCAAGUGAAAGAUUUGAAGAAAUACUUCACUCCUUCGCAAUUAGAGAAAUUAUGAUCAAUGACUUGGUUACACUAGUUAAUCACUAAUACUUUUUCGAUACCUAAUCUUGUUUAAAUAUCAAGUAAAGCAUUUGUGUAGCAUUUUUAUACCAAUCAUGAAUUCUAGAAUUCAAUUCUUCACCAAAGUAAGGAAAUAGAAAUCCAUGCAUCAUAAGAGCGUAAUUAGAAUAAGUCAAUAUUUACUUCCAAGAACUUAAACAUGAUUCUUUUUCUUUUUUUAGGUUUUUCGAUGCAUUUAUGGAGGAAACUAACCAAAAACUAUUUUUUAGACCUUUUCUGAUUUUUUUGGAAAACAUAAAUCAUUUUUGGAUUUUUUUUAUUUAAAAAAAAUAAUUUUUUUCAGAUUUUAAAUUAAAAUAACAAUAAAACAAAAGUUGACCUGGUGGGUGAAACCCACGAGCCGGCCCGACCGGGAUCCGGCCCGAUCAACUCGGGUCGCACCUCCGGGGGCUAGACGCGAGGUCCCCCUGUCUCCUAUUUUCCUUUACUCUUUUAUCCCUUUCCUUGAUCAUUUCCUUUUAUCUCUCUCUCUUCCUUGUCUUGUCUUUUCUUCUCUCUUCACACGUCAGACUAGUGAGAGAGAGAGAGAGAGAGAGAGAGAGACCCAUUUUGUCUUUACUCUUUUUUGACUUUUCUUUCUUCUCUCUUUGUUUCUCUCUGUUGGGAAUGAUUGAUCCCCGAAAACCGGAUUCGACACUAAAUCGAACCCCUAAAUCAAUGCGGAAGACGAAGCCCGGGAAAAACACGUAUCACCGAUCGUAAAGCACACCACGGAUUCGAGCGUACCUUGUUAGCCACAGAUUAGACACCAAUGCCGAUAGAGGAAGAGCAAUUUGUCCUUUGUUCGAUCCGAUGACGCUUGAAGGGGAGAAAACAGUGGCCUUGUGCUUACUGUCCUUUUUCUUUUGUUGGAGAGAGAGCGAGGGAGAGAACGUACGUAUGUUCUGAUUCCAAGAGUUAUCUUCUCUCUCUCUCUCUCUCCUCCCUUUUAUAGCUUCCCCCUCCACGGGCCCUAAUCCCGUGGGCCGGGCCUUUUGGGCCGAGCAUGGGCGGACGGGCCUUGAGCCCAAUACAUAUAAAACCAUCAUCUCCCACUCGCACAUGGUGGGCUGAACAUGAUUCUCUUUACCUCUCUUCAACAUUCAUACCGAUGAAUAAUCCGUGCGACCAGCAUACUUUGAGAGCUCGUUGCUAUACAUCUGUUAGGAAUAUAUAGCAGCUCAUAAUGGGCAUCACACUCCGAGUAGAUUUAGUAUGUAAUACCCUAGAUCGAUUGAUCACAUUUAUAUCUCUCUUGAUCUCUUUUCAAACGAUGAUAUAUAUAUAUAUAUAUAUAUAUAUAUUGUAUUCACAAUUAUGAUUAUCACAAAGACAAUCAUAAUUGGUUAACCGGUGAAUACAAAACUACAAUGUGAUUCUCCAAAAUCAAUCUUCCUCUUUCCUUCAAACUCUCAAUUUCAGUUCAGCUUGCUUUUCUAGAAAUGCCCCAUUAGAUCGAAUCAAACUCAUGACCAUUGGCAACAUCCUAAGAUAGCAAACAUUAAAUAGAAAUCUUGAGAAUAAGUAAGAGUCAUGAGGGGACUAAAAAAUUGAGGAACUCUUUUCCUCAAGAGUCUCACACGACAUAAAAAAGUUGAGAUCAAACUUUUGCCACUCUUAUUGGUCGUCUCAUGCAUACGUAGUAUGAAAUACGUAUUACGGUAUCAACUCCUUUCCCAUGGAGCGUAUGUCUACACCUUUCAAUACCGUACAGAUGAUAGUUCAGACAUACCCAAUGUCUAACUUGAGUUCACGUAUCUACUCAUUCACUAAAUUCAUCAGAACUCACAUCUAGCAUCAUAUACAGAUAAAGUAAAAUAUGUGGGGUAUUUUACUCUCGGACAUAGUAAGUAUUAUGUCCUCAUCUUAACACCCAGUUAAGGCAACAUACGUGUUUUAAGCUUGAGCUCUCGAUUAUCACCUAGAUAAUAAGCUUAAAAACAGUCUCAUCUCUAUUUAUCACACAGUAAAUAGAGGCGAUUACCCGUGUGAGUGGGCUAAUCUCAUAUCUGUUCGACAUACUUUCCUAACUUAAAGUAAUGCACUGAGCAUUAAGAUGCAUAAAGAUCAAACAAAGAUUCAUAGGCAUUAAUGAUGAAAAACAUAAAUUCAUCAUAUGUGAACACUUAGGGAAAAUUAUAAUAUUCAGUACAUUAGCCUCUACGCAGUCCUAGAGAUUUCAUAUGGCCACAAAACACAUCUCUAGGUACUGGCUUUGUCAUAGGAUCUGCUACCAUUCUAUGCGUAGUAUGUACUCUAAGUUCACAUCUUUUUGUGCAAUCAUAUCCAUGACAAAAUUAUACUUGGUAUCUAUAUGUUUGGUCUUGUCAUGAUAUUUUGGAUCUUUGGUGUACGCUUUUGCUGCUUGGCUAUCAUAAUUAACUAACAAUUAAUCUGCAGCACUUCCAAUAACACCUAAAUGAUCCAAAAAAUCUCUUAAGCCAAACAUCUUCUUAUACUGCUGCUGAUAAUGCCACGAACUCAAUUCCCAUCGUGGACAAGGCUAUACACUUUUGUUUCUUACUGCUCCAACACAUGGUGCCAUUAUUCGGUAAGAAAACAAACCUAGAGGUAGAUUUCCUUUUAUUUAAAUCUCCUCCCCAAUCAUCAUCAGAAUAGCCUUAGAGUCGCAGAUCCUUUCCAUAAUAACUCAGCGUAUAAUCAGCAGUCCCCUUUAGAUACCUUAGUAUUCUUUUAACGGCUUUCCAACAUGCUUGACCUGGAUUGGAUUGGUAUCUGCUCACCAUUCCAACUACAUAACAUAUGUCAGGUCUUGUACACAUCAUAGCAUACAUCAAGCUCCCAACAGCACUAGCAUAAGGAACAUGUUUCAUUUGUUCCUUCUCUUGUGGAGUCCUUGGACACAAUCUAUGGCUCAAUCCUUCACCUUUUGCAAUAGGAGUGUUUAUGGGUUUACAAUCCCAUAUCAUUCAUCUCAAAAUUGGAAGACAACCAACUUUUGACAGUAUGAACAAACUCCAUAUUACUUUCGGCAAUUAGUAUAUCAUCAACAUAUAAUGAUAUGAUCACAAAUUGAUCCUUGGAUCUUUUGAUAUAUAUACAAUGAUCCUCAUCUAUCAUUGUAAGAUCAUAUGCUAUUAUGGCAUUACGAAAACGUAUAUAUCAUUGUCAUGACGACUGCUUAAGGCCAUAUAUCGACCCCCAAAGUCAACAUACCUUUUCUUCUUGGCCUUUCACUAUGAAACCAACAGGUUGUUCCAUAUUUAUUUAUUCCUCUAAUUCUCCAUUGAGGAAAGCAGUCUUUACAUCCAUUUGAUGUAACUUAAGAUCCAUACUAGCCACUAUUGCCAGAAUAAUGCGAAUCGAGAUAAAUCCCUCUACAGGAGAAAAUGUAUCUUCAUAAUCAAUUCAUUCCUGUUGAUUAUACCCCUUCGCCACAAGGUGAGCCUUAUGCUUUCUAUCGAGCCAUCAGCCUUUCGCUUUAUUUUGAGAACCCACUUGUUCCCAAUAGCUCUGCGUCCCUUUUGGAAGAUCAACCAGUUCCCAGACUUGGUUUGACUUCAUUAACUCCAUCUCCUCUUUUAUUGCAUAAAUCCAUUUUUCCUUACUAGGGCGUUUAAGAGCCUCAUUAAUAUUUCUUGGCUCAUACUCAUCUUGUGGAGCAACCAUAAAAGUUUCCCUUUCAAUGUCAAAACAUCGACGGGGAAUACUUUGACGACUUGUUCACCGUAUGGGAGAUUGUACACUUAGCACAUCAUUCCCCAUUAUGCUCCCACUUGGAUUAGGUAAUGAUGAUGUCGUCACAUCAGGUGGUUGCAAUUGAGAAUGAGUUGAAUUCAAUUCAUCACAUCUCAUAUUACUCCCACUUGGACGAACUCAACCAAUAUCAUUAUCUAGAUCCAAGGUUUCAAAUAGGAAGUAAUCUUUCCCUAUUUCGCCCUUCUUAAGAAAUUCAUCCACUAAGAAUGUGACAUCCUGUGAUUCAAAUUCAGUUAUUCUCCCACUUUCCUGCUCACCUACGAACACAUACCAUUUUGAGUGUUCGGAGUAUCUCAUUAAAAUACUCUUAUUUCCUUUAGGACUCAAUUUCCCAAACUUGUGAGAGAACUCAUGAGUAUAGACAGCAUAACCCCAUGGCUUAAGUAAACUUAAGUCCGGUUUUCUACCUAUCCAUAACUCAUAUGGAGUGGAACUAACUGAUUUGGAAGGCACCCGGUUAAGUAUUUAGGCAGCAGUUAACAACGCAUCACUCCAAAAAGUGAUAUGUAAGUUAGCAUACGCCAUCAUGGACCUAACCAUUUCUAGUAGGGUUCUGUUUCUUCUCUCUGCAACACCAUUUUGUUGAGGAGUAUAUGGAAUAGACAACUAUCUUUCUAUUCCUUUUUCAUCACAUAAUUUUCUAAACUUAUCAGAUAAAUAUUCUCAACAUCGAUCGGAUCUAAAUACCUUUAUUUUCUUGUCUAAUUGAUUUUCUGUUAGGUUCAUAAACCUUCUGAAACAACUUAUGCUUCAGAUUCAUGAGAAAUCAAAUAGACACAUCCGAAUCGAGUAUAAUCAUAUAUUAAAAGUGAUGAAGUAAACAGUCCCAUGCCUUUCUCUCACAUUCAUUGAACCACAAACGUCAUAAUGGAUUAAAUGCAGAGGAACAUUAGCUCUUUUACUUUUUCCAAAUGGUUUCCUUGUCGUUUUCCCUUCUAGGCAAUGCUUACAUAUGGACAAAUCGACUUAUUCAAUAUUGCCCAACAAGCCAUCUUUGGCUAGUCUAUUCAUAUGUUGUUGGCCAAUAUGACCAAGUCUAGCAUGCCACACAUUCACAUCAUUAUCACAUGAAGUAAAAGACGUGAAACAAGGGAAUAACAUAUUGACAUCACCACAGUCAACAUUCAGUACAAUAAAACCAUCCAGAAAGUGACCACAACCAUAGUAGUUUGUAUCCAAAUACAAAUCUACACAGUUAUUACGGAAGUUCACACUAAAACCAAGCUUAACCAACAUCAAAACAGACAAUUAAAUUUCGACGAAUCUCCAGAGCAUUUAGAACAUCAUGUAGGAACAAGUUGCGUCCACCACACAUGUUCAGUUGGCAGGUGCCAAUCCUUUUAACUUCAGCUCUGGAGUUGUUUUCCACAUAGAUCCACUCAGUUCUAGUUGGUAUUCGUCGGAAUUCCACGAAGGAUCCUUUAUCCUUCGCUACAUCGUCUGUUGCUCCUGAAUCUACAGUCCACAAAGGAUUGGAUUCGGCCAAUAAUUCAGAACUUGACACAUAAUCAAAGUUCUCAAAUGUACAAGAGGUGUUUACUUUCUUUGGCUCACAACAGUCGCGAGCAUAGUGACCCUUCUUGUCACAAUUGUAACACCUCACCCUUGACAUUUUCUUCACUUGAGGACAUUUUCCUCUCUUGUGUUGGUUAAGUCUUGAUUUCUUGCAAUAAGGACUUGAUCCUUUGCAUUCCCACAUAUUGAACGAAUCAAUACGCUUGCGCUUAGAGCACAGAGCCCUUUCUGAGCUAGAACCAGCAUUGCAAAUAUCUAUUUUCUGUUCAAAUGCUGUUAGUCGGUCCUCAGCUAGCUCAAAGUGGCGCACAUCAUUUAUAAGAUCUUCCAUAACAUGGUCAAGAGCUUCUAGUGCUUCUUGCUUUUUCAGCACAUAUUGAAUCUUCAUAUUCAAUAUUUCACAAUUGUUGCCGUUCAUAUCAACAAUUACAUUCUUAGUUGCUGAAACCAUCGAUAUGAACAAAUCAGACAUAUAUGCACGAAUAAUUAAUGCCUAUCAUUUAUGCAUCCACUUUUACAUAGACCCAUCAUAUUAAUGAAUAAUUUCAAGUAAGGCUUCAGAAUCAAAAGGUCACUAUGUUUCCAAUCAUCCUCCAAAAAUCCUAACUUAAAACUAUCAUUAAUAUGAUUGUCAUAUGCAAAAUCAAUUCUAUGAAGCUACAAAAACUUCUAACACUACCCACAGCUAAUUACCCACAGCAACCAGCAAUAACAGAAAGCAAAUAAAAUCUAAUAUCCAAUAAUAUAACAAUGCUUUCAUAUGAUACAACUAACAUAUCAGUUGCUAUAUCAACAACAAUCAGGUAGUAAACAUUGCAUAAUUAAUCAAAGAAAUAAAUAGGGAAUGUCCCUUCUAAUCUAUCAAUCAAAACAUCUGAGAAAACUGAAGGCACAUUUGCCAACUAUGGAAAAUUUUUUGGAGAGCAUUCAUGUCGCCACCAAGGCGCAUUCACUCUACGCCAUGUGGCGCUCAAUCUAAGGGUUGAAGUUUUGGCCAACUCAAUCCUAUAGUACUCUCUUACAAAAGCUUCCACUAGCCCCCUGUAAUCCGGGACCACGUUGACCUCCCAUAGCCGAUCUAACACUGCUUGCCAUUCAGGUGGAAGAGUGUUCAUCAAAGCCGGCACCUUCUCAAAAUCCGGCAUAAGAUAACCAUUCCAGAUGAUUUCCUGUAUCAUCUGAUUCACCUUGACCAUGUGUGAUACUAAAUCACCAUCAAGCCACCGAUAAUCAGCUAACUCUUUCAUCAGCCUUUUCAGUCUAGCUCUUCCUUCGUCCGUUCUUGGGAUUGCAGGUAUCCGUGCAUAACGCAUCAUAGUUCCUGCAACAAAUGCAGAACUAAAAUGGAUCACUUAUAAUCCAUAAUAAACAAAUGGAAAAUACAUAAUUUUCCAUGAUUCAUGCAACAAAUGCAGAAUGAAAAAUGGAUUACCUACAACCCACACAGACAUAAUUGAAAAAGAAACAAAUUCUUUUUUUUUUCUUCUUUUUUUUUUCGGGUCAACGGUCAACGGUCGGUCACGGUCAACCGUCGGUCAACGAUCGGUCAACGGGUCAACGGUCGCUGGUCGCCGGACGAACCGGGCGGACCGGACAGACUGGUCAGGCCGGUUCGGGCGAACCGGACAGACCGGUCAGGCCGGUUCGGGCGAACCGUCCGCACGUGCCGCGCGCGUGCGCGAGAUGACGUCACGAAGACGUCACUCGGCACGUGCCGCGCGCGUGCCGGGCGUCGCGGUUCAGGUCGGGUCGUCGUCGGGUCGGGUCGUCGGCUGGUGACCGCCCGGCGAAACGUUGUCGGCGAUGACGUCAUCGAUGACGUCAUCCGAGCGGUUACCGACCGUUGGAUGAUGUCACGGUGAUGUCAUCACGUGACGUCAGCACAUGUCGUUCCGCGGACCGGCGCGUGCCGUUUCGCCGGUCGCCGGCCCGCACGUGCCGGUUCGUCACCGGCGCGUGUGGCGCACGCGCUGGCCAUUGCCAGUGCUUCGGGCACGUGGCUCCCACGUGCAGGGGCUUGUGGCCGCGCGUGUGGGCGCAUGCGGCGUCGUCCGGCAACGCACAACAUGUCGCCGGACUUGUCUCGACGACCUCUUUCACCCCGUGCUUUCAGAAUUCAAUUUCGACUUACGAAAACUCAGAAAAAUGGCCAAACAGCGCUCGGGUGUCUGGAUUUUUCGCCCCGAUCCGUACGGCCGAAGUUCUUUCGCGAAAAAUCAAUCAAAAACUUCAAAUUGAUCGGGAAAAACUUUAACUAGGGCUCUGAUACCAAUGUUGGGAAUGAUUGAUCCCCGAAAACCGGAUUCGACACUAAAUCGAACCCCUAAAUCAAUGCGGAAGACGAAGCCCGGGAAAAACACGUAUCACCGAUCGUAAAGCACACCACGUAUUCGAGCGUAUCUUGUUAGUCACAGAUUAUACACCAAUGCCGAUAGAGGAAGAGCAAUUUGUCCUUUGUUCGAUUCGAUGACGCUUGAAGGGGAGAAAACAGUGGCCUUGUGCUUACUGUCCUUUUUCUUUUGUUGGAGAGAGAGCGAGGGAGAGAACGUACGUACGUUCUGAUUCCAAGAGUUAUCUUCUCUCUCUCUCUCUCCUCCCUUUUAUAGCUUCCCCCUCCACGGGCCCUAUUCCCGUGGGCCGGGCCUUUUGGGCCGAGCAUGGGCGGACGGGCCUUGAGCCCAAUACAUAUAAAACCAUCACUCUCCUCUCUCUAUCUUAUGUCUUUCGGGUCUCUCCUUCACUUUGCACGAAAUGGCUGAAACACUGCCGACCUCACCUUUCCCAAUGAUCGCCAGCUCAAACGUAAAAAUAAGACUUAGACUUAACUAACUAGAAAAAGGAAACAAAAAAGAAAGGCACAAGAACGAGGGAGUCGCGCCCAGCUACCACCGCCACUCUCCAACCUCGCCGGGCAAGAAUCAAUCGCUUGUAAAACCAGGAUGCAUGCUGAUAAUAACCAUGAAACGAGGUAGACCGAGCAAAAGAUGUCAGUGGAAAUCUACAAAAACGUAUUCGACAAACCAUGAACACCAAGAAUGAAUGCAUAUAUCUCAACCAGGCAUUUCAACAAGCACAUAGGGUGCAUCGGUAAGGGAGUUAGAGAUGAGGAUAACGCGCUUGGUAUCAAGCCGUGAUUGAAAGCCAACGACACCCAAAACUUUGCGAUCGCAGUUCGCACCUAAAAGAGGUUGGAGACUGACCCGACCCGAAGGAUGGCAGCUCAACCGAUGGGCCCGAAACAGAGUACGAAACAAGGUACUACAGGUGUUCGGUUGAAGGAGCCCUACCCGGCUUGACGGUAUCAGACAGCGAACGAGCUCGACAGAUCAGGCUACAUUUGCUCGCCUCACUUGUCUCCAAGUCGGGUCCCUUGAGAAAUCGACCCUAAACCCAUAAAAAAGAUAAACCCAAACGGAACCUACCACGGCUUUGAUGCGAACAAAGCAUGAUGACGGCCGAUGACUGUCCCCUUUAUUCCACCCUUACUCGCGACUCUCAGCUCACCCUCACGGUCUCUCAAGUAUUUCUCACCCUUUCCACCUCUCCUCAAAUCUGGCCUUUCUCUCUCAGCAAGUAAUUUCAAGAAUUAUUAAUAUGCAUCAUUGCUCACGAAAAUCAUGCAACAUCAUCCAAGAUGCAAUAAUUAUUAAAUUUUGACAUUGUGGUGUAGAGAUAAUAGUCUUGAUUAAUCCUAAAUGCAAAUUACUGUAUGUAAUGCACGAAUAAAAAAAUUUGAUGUUGGACCUUAAGUUUCAAAGGUCUGAUGCCCCAAUACGCCUUGUUAAUGCAAGGAAUAAUGCAAAAGGAAUUAAAAUAUCCUAAGGUUCACGUGACAUCUUGUAGGGGUGAGCAUUGGUUCAAGGUCAACCCUGGACCGACCUUGGACCGGCCCAACCCUGCCGGUCCUGAUCCGGUUCCUAGGGAGACUAGGUCGGUCCUUGAUCCUAGAAUUUUUAGACCAACACUAUGCGGGUCAGUCCUUGGUCCUGAGAGUUCUAGGUCGGUCUAACCUGGACCAACCCUAACUAUAUAUAUAAUAUUAUUUAUAAUUUUUUAUAUAUAAAAAACCUUAAAAUAAAUAGUGUUAACAACAUUAAAUAGCUAUUUAGUGAGGAAUUCAAGUAAUUUUAUAUUAUUCUUUAAUAACUUAGAUUUUAGAUGUCCUUUACAAUGUCAAUAGUCAUAAUUUACGAAGAAUGAAAAUGUUUUUGUGAGGAGUCAUCUCAGCGUCCAAAAAGGCAUAAACAGCUCAUUAUAGCAUCUUUUCUAAUAUUCAUUAUCUUUUGUCUUAUUUGUCCUCUUAGUCUUUAAUUUGCCAAAAUUGAAAGAAAUAACUUCUCCGCUCGCUACUCAACACUCGCCUCGCUCACUUUGGGUCAUUCGUGCCGCUCGAUGCUCGCUUGGCUUGUUACUCCUCGCUCAACAUUCAAUGCUCAUUCUGUUCGAUGCUCACUCCACCUAACCCUCACCGCUUGCCUUUCUUAGCUGACCUCGCUCGUCAUCGAAUCCAUUGGCUCGGUACAGUUCUUGGUUGCCCUUUCAAGAAGUACAAAAAAUGAAAUAAAAAAUUAUUGGUUAGUCUUGGGUUGAUCUAGAAACUGGACCGAACCCAUUGGGUCAAUUCGGUCCUCAAUAAAUUUUAUAAGGAGUACAAAAAAUGAAAUAAAAUUUAUCAGUUGGUUCCGGGUUGACCCUGGAACUGGACCAAACCCAUUGGGUCGGUCUGGUCCUCGGUCCUAAGCUCAAUAGGGUCAGUUCUCAGUCUCAAAAAUUGAGGACCAUUACUGUCUGGUUAGUCCUAGGGUUAAGGGGUGGGCCGACCCAACCCGGACCAUACUCACCCUUAACAUCUUGGAUUAUUACGUUAACUUUGGAGUUCUGAAGCAAAGCAUUGGCACUAUAUCUAGAGGCGCCUCUGUGAGUUAAUUCAAGUUUUCACAUAUUUAUAUAAGAAUUGAUCUCUCCCUAUUCGAUGCAUAAUUUGGUUCAUUUCUACCCCAUUCACCAUUCUAAAAGCCUACUAGGAGUAACUCCUUAUCCACGCUCUCUAGCCCCGGCGACCACUCCUCCCGCUAGUCAGACUAGGUCAUUAUAGACCCACUAGCUUCCUCGUGGUUCGUUUUGAAUCACCCACUUACUAGAGAGGGUCCCUCUUUGAUACGAUGUUGUGACAUCCUCAAUUAACUCACCUGAUAUUUUGUCCACUUCAACUCUUCCUAUACCAAACCUCAUGGUUUUGUCCUUUUGUGCACAAGUGGGUAAUUUCCUAGAAAGUCACUCAUCCCGGUAGUGUUCCCACCCAAGCACACUUAAUUUCGAAGUUUCAAAGCAAAGCCUUACCAUUCCGUCAAAUUGACGUUUCAAUGAUAUAAUUCCAAUUUUCACAUAUACAUCUAUAAAUCAUUCUCUCCUUUUUCAGCGCGCAAUUUGGUUUAUUCUUGCCCCCUCAACAUUUUAAAAGCUUUCUAGGAGCCGCUCAUUGUCGAGACCUUCUAGUCUCAACGACUUUUCCCCCCUCUCUUUAAGCCGGAUUGUUACAAUUCAAUAACUAUAGGUUAGACAAUCAAAUCAUGGCCUAAAAUAAAAUCCAACCUAUUAUUUAUGCAAUUACUAAACUAACCUUAAUCAGGACUAACCUAGGGAACCAAGAGACUUAUGGCACAACACAAGGUGCAAAGGAAAGAGCCACCAGUAGGGAUUUUAAAGACCGGCAAUGGACGACGGUCUGCGGUGCCUGGGCAGUGACGUGAGGAGCUAUUGGACGUCUCCAAGAGGGUACAGGGCUGUUAGAGGAUUUAGACGCCAAAGGUUCCAGCGGUGCUUGGGCUAAUGCGGCCAGCAGGCAAAGCUCUAGAGGGAUCCAAAAGACGCCUAGAUGCUGCUGGAGGGGUAUCGUCGGAAUGCCAAGAGAAGGAGGAGCACCGGUGUCAUAAAGAAUUUUCAGUGAAGAAUUUUCUUUCUUGCCUUUAUUUCUUUUUAAUCAUUUAGUUUCGGACUCUUAGGCAAACUUUAAAAAUAAAUAAAUAAAAAGAACAUAAAGUGUCAUAAAGAUGACUCGAAAUUUCACUAUGCAAAUUUUUUAUUAAUAAUAUGGCUUCCUGAAACUUUUGACUCCAAUACUCUUCAAAGAAGUGCGCAAACCGCCCUAUUUAGAUAUCCAUGUCCACCAUAAAAAGCUAACGUGCCUCCUAACUUGCAGAAAAAAAUUACAGAGUUAUUUCACACGAGAGCUAUAAAAAUACCAUAUGUCCUUAUAUAUCAAGACCUUCCUUACACAACCACUCUUUAAAGACAUGAGUUAAUCGUUUGAAAUGAACCUAAUGCUUUACUAUUGAAGAAGUAGUUUGAGCAUUCUGUAUCACAGAUUUCUUCUACAUCAUCUAAUAAGUUGCUAGAGUUGCUAGUUUCCUUGGCAUCCAAUUAUGGUCGAGAGCUAACUAGAACAUGAGCUUUUCAAUUGGUAACUUAUGGUAUGUUUAUAUUGGUUUACUAUUUUUUUUUUAAAUCAAUACUAUGUCUUGAUUAUGUGUGAAUAUAUUCUUUUACAGUAACUCUUCUUAGUAGGCCAUAAGAUGGGUUACGUGGUACUAUAGUUAGAAUCACCUUUUUCACCCUUGACAUAUGAAGCUCCAAUCUUAAUUGUAGAUUUUCUUCUAGGUGACUUUUUUUUUUCCCUAAGGGAUCUCUAUAUUCAUCACAUAAAAUUAGACAUAAAUGAGGAGGCAUUGUGGUCCAAGAACAAUAAUGCCAUUUCCACCUAUGCAAGCCACAAAGGUAGUCGGCACUAUUUCUCUCUACCCCAAUUUCCACUAAGGCUGAUCUUUCCAUAAUAGGUAGGUUUCAAAUCUUGAACCUACCAUGUUAAGUCCGAUUUUUAGUUUUGGAAUUUGGGACCUACCUUGUAAACUAUGAAUCCUAGCGUGUCUGUCGGGUCUAAUUCUAGCGUAUUUUGGGAAAUCGGCCAGGUACUUUUUUUCCCUUUAUUUUUUAUCAUAAACUAUUUUAAAAUAUUUAUGUUCCAAUUUUACUUUAUACUUUAAAAUAAAAAUUGUGUUAUAUUCUCUAUUCAAGAGAGAGGGAGAAUGAGAAGGGAGCUUGUAAUAUGAGAAAUAAGAAAGUAGUAAGGUUUGAGUUUCUAAAUUAGAUUCUAAACCGCCAGUUGUAGAGUAAGUGAGUGGAACCUACUUGCACAAUACCGAUUCCAAAUUUUUGGAAUCAAUGGAACUAGACUAGAAUUGGCCAGCUCAGGCUAGUUCAAUCUAAUUCUACGAUAGACCUGGAAUUAAUAUUUAUCCCUAAUUGCCACACAUGGAUGGAUUGUCAAAGGUUACCAUCAAUUUGUAGUUGUGCAUGCUUAUCGUGGACUGCGACGUGGCACGUGCAACUAUAAUACGAAGUCACAAGAAGUCUACAAAGUGCCACUAGUUAAGUAGUAUGUACCAACCCAAUUUUUAUUCGCCCGGUUAUAACUCAAUAUAGGUUGUCUUUACAAUUUCUUUUUCGUUGUCGGUGCAAGUUGAAGGUCACCACCGUCCUAACUGAUAUCGGCAAUGACGUCAGAUUAGAAAUUAAUUUAGUCGCAUCAUAAUGCCACAUAUACUCAAUUCAAGUUCUUUAAACUUAGAUCUCGAAAAAAUCAAUGAUUGCACUUUAUUUAUUUCUCACCCCCAUGUGGGGUUCUUUUUUAAUCCAUUGCGCUGAUUUUUUUUUUUUUUUUGGAAAUGAAGAAAUGGGUCUUGCUAACUUCGAAAUAGAAAAACCUAUGAUUGUUCGUCUAUAAUACUGGCUUUGCAACGUGCGUAGGUGUUUUAGGAUUCUGUUGUGUCAUGUGAUGUGUUUACUGAUAACAUGGGCACAUUAGUUAUAUAAUAUGAUAUUCACCGUCACGUUUUCAAACUAGCUAGUGAAUCCUAGUGAAGAACUUUUGUUGCGUAAAUACCACGUUGAUGUGACAUUGAUAAAAAUUUCACUUUCAUAACAAUUACAUUUGUUGAGAGUUGUGCAUUACAUGCAUCAACGUGAAGUCAUGACUUUUCUCAAAUUCAUAGUGAUUGGAAAAAUAAUUUACAUGGACACUUUUGAAUAGGCAUGAUAUACGACAAUUUCACACACAAAAAGAUUGGUAAGUGUAAGCAUAAAGCGACGCUCUUCAUGAAAAUUUGUCCACUCAAAUAUGGAUUCGCACAUUGCAAAAUUGGACUAGACAUUCGAUUAGAGAGUAAUAUGGCAAGUGGGGCCCAGUACAGCACCUCACUUUCUUUUUCAGCGUGCCGUCUCAUAUACCCUGUCCGAUUUAUUCAAUCUCAAUGGUCGGAAAGCCCAAGUGGGGCCCUAUCAAAGUCAUGGUCGACCUAAGAAAUUUACUGAAAGAAAAAUCCAAAUACCGAGUGACGUGCUCGCUGACGACGACAAUAAUCUCAAAACCCCUAUAAAUUGAGACGAUCCCUUCACUCCAGUCCCACACCAUCGGCUCUCUCUCACACAUCCUCUUCUCUGAAACUAGUGACACAAUGUCUUCCAGGUACUUGCUAGUUUUUUUCCUGGGAGCGGUGCUUUUCGCCGCUGCCGUCCUCUCCGACGGCCACCACCCUUUCAAAAAAGAGCAUAAACCACACCACAAACACCACCACAAGCACCACCCUGGUGGUCGCGGUCUCUUGGAGACCGUUGAAGCCGAGGACUCGCACAAGCCGUACCCUAAACACAAGCCCCCACACCACAGCCACCCUCAUGAGCACAUUCUUGUCGAGGAGGUGGAAAAUGAAGACUCCCACAAAAAGCCAUUCCCCGGCAAGAAACCGCCCCACCACCCCGGUCACUUGCUUGCAGAGGAAGUGGAAACCGAUAAAAAAAAGAAGCCAUUCCCCGAGCACAAAUCCCCAAAGAAAGGUGACAAGCCACCACCGAAGCACAAGCCGCCCCACGAGGGACACAUUCUCGUAGAGGAGGUGGAAGAGGACUCGAAGAAGCCAUUCCCUGAGCACAAGCCCCCCAAGAAAGGUGAGGAGCCCAAGAAGGGAAAGGGAGAGAAGCCGCCACCAAAGCACAAGCCACCACACGAGGGACACAUUCUCGUAGAGGAGGUGGAAGAGGACUCGAAGAAGCCAUUCCCUGAGCACAAGCCCCCCAAGAAAGGUGAGGAGCCCAAGAAGGGAAAGGGAGAGAAGCCGCCACCAAAGCACAAGCCACCACACGAGGGACACAUUCUCGUAGAGGAGGUGGAAGAGGACUCUAAGAAGCCAUUCCCUGAGCACAAGCCGCCAAAGAAAGGCGAGGAGCCAAAGAAGGGAAAGGGAGAGAAGCCGCCCCCAAAGCACAAGCCACACCACAAGGGACACAUUCUCGUAGAGGAGGUGGAAGAGGACUCAAAGAAGCCAUUUCCUGAGCACAAGCAGCCCAAGAAAGGUGAGGAGCUGAAGAAGGGCAAGGGAGAGAAGCCGCCCCACCACAAGCCACCGCACAAGCCCCCCACCGAGAACUGAGCGUGCGUUCUUCAAUGAACAUAUAUGCCGUGUG
rnacentral:lncRNA from 1 species